UGUGAAUAUAAAGGGCUGUCUGUAAAGUGUUUAGAAAUCUUCAAAAAAAGAGGUGCUACAUAAAUGCAUAUUUAUUGCAGUGCUGACAUUCUUGUGGCAGCUCUGAAUGCAGAAUCAAAAGCAGAGGGGCAGAAUGUAAGUCAGAAUAAGAAACUGUCAGGCUUUAGCCUCUAUCUUAAACUACUUUGAAAUGUUGCAGACAUUCAGAGAAUCUCAUUUCCCAAUAUUGUAUGUCCUACAGUAAUUACACCAAUCUGGAAUAUAAAUUUUCCUUCCCCCUUCUGAGAGAAGGCAAAACUCUUAGAAAUACACACAAAUGGAGCUCUAAUCCCACAAACUUUAAUACCUGUACCUAAUGUCAGGCAGCAGAGCUGUCCCACUGAUUUCAGUGGCUCUGCUCAGAUGCAUGUGUGGAAGCGUUUGUGUGAUUAGAAGUUAAUCAUAAUAAAUGCCAGUUCAUAAGAGAUCCCUGUGUAAACAAUCUAUUUCUGCAUGCAAGUGAUGAUUUUAUUGCUGUUCUCUAAUUCUGUGUAGAGGCUUUGUGAAGAAGUCUUAUAUUUUCUAAAGCACUAUAAUGUUUCUGAUAGUGUUUUUCAUUGCUAGCUCUUUGGGGGCUAAUUAAAAGAAAUAUCUGUUAAAUUUAUUCAUUGCUUGGUUCCUUGAAAGCAAGAGGCACCUGGCGUAAACAUUAAAAAGAAAAUCAGGCAGCAGCCAGACCUCAUCAUAUAUUAGAUGCAUUAGGACACUUUAUUUAUAAAUAUGAAAUUGGUUUUAAUGACUUCAAAAGGAAGAGAUGCCAGGAAGAGCAUAAUACGAGCAAGCUCAGUAAAGCUGUCAUGAAGAUGCUUAAACUCCAAAAAAUCUAGAAUUUGUACUUACUCCCCCCUUCUCCUCUCAAAUAGGAGGUGGCAAUUCCAGCUGCAACUGGCAAAAAUGUACAUGAAGAAGUUCAGCACUAACCAAGAGAAGCAGCAGAUGAGAUGGAGCACCCAAGUGCCAUCAGUGGGAGAUGAGAAAUAGCACAUUUCUACCGAGCUGACUGAUUCACUGGAACAAACCAUGAAUUUUGACCUCUAUGAUUUAAAAUCCUUAAGGAUGUGAAAUCCAUCCUUCUGUUGGGACAACGUUUAAAGAGGCACUUACAUCGAGCAUAUGCUUUACAUUCAUUUGACUUUAGUUUCAAACAGGCUUAGCACUGUUUCAUUCUGUUCCCAUUACAGGCUUCAAUAAAUCAGUAAUGAACAGUGACUCAAUACCUUAUAAUUCAGCAUGCAUUCAGCACUGUCCCACAGAAAGAUGCAAUAAAUGAAUGAUCAAUAGACUGUGCAAGUGAGGAAUAUCAGCAAAAAGCUCUCCUCCAUGAAGAAAAAAAUCUACUCUAAAGGUAGAUUUCACCUUAGGACACGUUGUUGCAACAACAUGCUGAUUUGAGAAAGGUAUUUCACAGGAGUAAAUCUGAUGUUAGUGAGAUCAAUGACCAGUUUUAGUGGGAGGAACCCCAGUAUCUUUUCUCAUUUAAAGAGCUGAAGUUUUGAGCCAGGUGUAAUACAUAGGAAAGUGUCCAAAGAGGUUGAAAGAUUUGUUUUACAGGACUCACAUCCACUACUAUUUGGGCACUUAGAAAAAGUUCUAAGCAAAAAGAAAGUUUGACCUGAAAUGAUGAAAGAGCAAAUUAAUUUUGAUAAAACAAGAAUCAGGAUUUCAUUCCAAGUUAACCUGUUAUGUGAAAAUCUAAGACACAGCACAGAUUUGUAUCAGGUCUCCAAUGAACCUGAUUGCUCCUACACCUCUUCUAAGUGACACUUGAAACAAUUGGCCAUGAACAGGAAAUAGUUGCUUUAAUCCUGGUUGGGAAAAAAACCUUUCAGUAGUUGUUCUCCUCGUUCCACAUAGUGCAGAACCCUUCCGAGAUAAGCAGUGUGAGGAAGGCAGGUAGAAGCUGUCCCACCCAUUUUUGCAGUUUUAGCACUGUACAGACUGAUCCUGUGGGCAGGGAAUGUGACUGCAUGACCAGAGUGGAGGAGAGAAAUUAAGGAUCUGUAGUCUAAGGAUGUUUUCUGACCUGCUGGAAUCCCAUAGGUGUGAUCUUUUCAAAGAGUGAUUUCCCAGUUUUAAAAAAGCAGAGUUUUGUUGAUGUCUUUAAUCACACCAAAGGCACCUUGUUGCUAGGGCAGGAACUUUCCUCAUGCCCUUGCAAAGAAAACAAACAGACAUUGGUUUUCCAUCCUGCCCUGACCUUUGAAAGUUGUCAUCUCUGCCAGUUCUGCACUUUCUGGCCCUGGAGAGACCAGUUCAAUCCUGAGUGAGGGAACUGAGCCACCUCCGGAAUCACCAUCGCACCUCCUGCAGGAGUUUUCCUUGGAGGUGACUCCAUCCAACAACUAACCAGGUCUGACCCUGUUUAACUUAGGAAAGCCAAGCAGGAUUGUCCAGACCUCCAAAAACAAAUAUGAAACCCCACAGAGCCUCAGGGGAGCCUGAGCAGGAGGAGCUGCAGGCAGAGACACUGACCCAGCACAGAGCUGCUGCCACAGGACACCAGUGCAGUGUGUUGUGGCACGACUCCUCCUGCCCAGGUGACUUCAGGGACUUUUCCAAGUGAUUUCAGGGACAGGUCCUGGCUGGGUUCAGGAUAAGAACAGGGCCAGACAAGGGGGGAGCUGCAGAGAUUGUAAAUUAUAAAAUUACUCAUUCCUGUGAGCCCUGUACGUGAGCUUUUGCUUCCCCCAAGCCAGGUGACAUUUAACCACAAAAAAUUUAACAUGCCUUUUACAGGGAUGUGCAUCACUGCCUAUGAUAAAAUACAGGGGUGUGGGAGAGUCAGGAUGCAGCUUUUUCAGCGCAACUCCACAUGAAGGAAAAAAAAGGCAAUAAAAAGGAAGUCUUGGCAUAAGGAAAACAUCCCAAUGAAAUCCUGUCUUUUAAUCUUGGCCGCAAUCUCCUCUCAUCAUCUUUCCUGCUUUUUAAUGCUCUGCUGCACUUUUUAUAUUGUUCACUUUAUCAACUUCACCUGUCUCAAAAGUCAAUAAAAGCAGAGGCCACAGUUUUAAAAUCCAGGCAAAUGAAGUGAGGCACCAGAUUGUUCAACUUCUCCAGAGGUGCUGACUGCUCACAACUGUCAGGAGCAGCAACACAACCUGUGGGUGAUCAGUGACUUUAAAAAUCACUUAAGUGCUUGAAGAGGAACAUAACUGGAAAACACAGAGGAUAAUACUUUCAAAAGCUUCUGACUCAAGAGUCACUAUUUUACUUUCAGAAGUGAUUUAAGCACUUGGGAGUUCAAGAACUACUUAAAAAUCAAGUGUAUUCUGAAAUGCAUAAUACUUUCUGUGUAUGGUGUACAGAUAGCUCUUCUGGUAAUGUACUUACCCAGAAGUUUUAGGCCUUUCUCAGGAAGAUUCAAUAUAUUGAAAUUCCAGUCCAGGAUUAGCUACACUGUCACCUACACAAGCUCUACCAAUAUUCUAAUGGGAAAGUAACUUCCUAUGCUUAUUGUCUGAGGAAAGCUCAGUAGAAGAAUGACCUAAACAACAUUGUACUGAUUGCUGUUGAACAAUCUGAGGAAAGACUCUCCUUUUUUAGUCCCUCUAAUGGAAAAUGUUUUUUUUUCAGUCUUUCUCCUGUUACCAUUUCUUUCCUGACAUCUGUUUAUUGUAGGCACACAGUUUGUGGUAACUGAGAGUGGGGCUGUGGCUGAGCUUCAUCCCCGAUGUGUGAAAAGCAGGUGAGUGAAGGUGAUGAGCCAUGGAGUGCCCAGGUGCACUGACCAAUCACCAAAAGGAACAGAGGGCACACAGGGGCACUGCAGGAACAACGAGGGUAUAAAAGUUGGGCUGGAGAACAGGAAGGGCAGAUGCUUGCAGCCUUUUGAGGUGGUAUGAUGUUA
ensembl:lncRNA